GUUUCCCCCAGGUGUGGAGAUGCUUGUGUCUGGGACCUCCUGCCAUUUCUCAGGACACCAUCCUGCUCCUAGCUGGGAGAUUCAGCAUCCUCAUGAAUGCAGGGCCCAAGGCCACCAACUGUUCCACCUGCUGUCAGCCAGGCCUGUUGCCCCAGCCCUAUACCCACAGCUCACCCAGCAGGGACUGGAGUGUGCUGCUGCACUGCUGGAGCCGGUCGCCCGGGUCGGAGGUUGGGAAGAAGACAGCCGCUGGCAGGCCGCUGGUUGGGGGGUCCAGCCGGAAGCCCACAGCGGUGAGGAGGGCCUGCCAGCCAGGGAUGCCACCCACUUUGUUCUCCACACUCUGCUGGGACGUGUACAUGGCAUUGCGCUGCCCAUUCUGGAUGCGCUGCAGGGACUUCUCCACCUGGGGGGGAAUUGGGGUAAACACUGGGAUGCUGGAGCUCAGGCAUCCCAGACAGGAGGAGUGUGUACUCACACCAGCCAGGAGGAAACAAGCCUGCCUGAGAGGACAGAGGAUCAGCCCUGGCUGUCCCUCGGGAGCGGGGGGCCUCCAAGGCACACUGCCCACUGGGUCAAGGAGUAUCCAGGAGGAGUUAGAAGCAUGACCCAUCCGCCUGGCACCAGCACCUGGGGCUGCCAGGCAGCCACCCCUGCAGCUGUGUUGACAGGGCCUGGCAGAGGGACUGACCCACCUUUGGAAAAUGACACCAGCAAUAUCAGGAUGUGUCAACUGGAUUUAUGUUAAGAAAAUAGGAUUUUUGGCGUUCCUCUGUUUCCCAAAGUUUGAGACACUUUCAGACACUCUGCUUUGCGGUUGUGGCCGAUGUUACCCAUGGGUGGGACUUUUGCUUUGCUCUAGAUUUUUGUAAUACCCUGGGGAGUUUCAGGGGCCAAUGCUGAGAGAAGACCACAGGCUGACGCAUCAUGAGACCCUCUGGGCAGGUCCACUAAGAGCAUGUAUUCUAGAACAUGCAAGGCCUGAAGCUUCACAAGAUACUCAGUACACUCCUUACAGAUCCUCUCAAAUGUGGACCGGGUGGUGUCAUCGCACCACCAUCAUCCCCUUGUUACCCCUGAGAACACAGCUUCAGAGAGGGUAAGUAACCUAUCUCAGGCCACACAGCCAGGACAGGGAGCUAGAUCGAUCCUAAGUCUUUCUACCACACACUCCUUUCCACAGUCAUGGGUUAAAUGAGGGUGCCAUGGAAUGGGUCAUCCAGUGUACACUGACAUCAGGAGGAGUUUCACAUUCAUACUCUCAUGGCAAAUGGUUCUGUUGCUCCAUGGUCCAAAGAUGAUCUUAAUAGUAGGAAAAACUCAUUUGGUAGAAAAAAGACUCAGCACACAGGCUCUCUCCCUGAGUCUUCUAUGGCUGGCCCUGCCCUGCCUUCCCCUCCCCAACCCCACUUGCAGAAUAAAGUCGGGGGGCUGUGAGGACUGAGCCCCAGGCCUUGACAGGCACCCGCAGCCGGCCGAACUCCCACCUGCCCAGUUGGAGGGGUGCGAGAAGGCCUUGCUGCUCUGCACCACCUUCAUGGCCUCCCCCAAGGCGGCGCUGGCUUUCAGGCCGUUCAGCAGGGAUGAGUAGAAGGCAUGGAUGAACAUCUUAGAAGCAGCCACUGGCACAGGCCACAGAGACACGAGGACACACUGAGCGCCGGCAGCCAGGAAGGCCCUUGUCAGCGCGAUGACCCCAUCGGCUGUGACUUUGCUGUUGGACUCCUGGGAGGAGCCAAGCACCACCAGCUUCACAGGCAGCUGCAGGUCCAGGACGUCGGCGGCGGUGCCUAACUUACUGAGAAUCAUGCCUGCUGUGAUGCGCCCUUGAAAAUCAUCAGGACUGGAUGGUAGGGGUCCUGAGAGGAUUGGGGGAGGAGGCCCUGAUAUGACAGAGUGGACAGAGGCUGUGGAACCCAGGAUGGCCAGCCUGCUCCACAAUCCUCAUCCCUACAGACCUUCCUGUGUGGCUCCUAAAUAAGAGGAAACCCACUCCUGAUAAGUCAGGAGCUUUGAAGAGUGAUUUUGUUUAAAUGGUGCAAACAAGCAAGCCAAUCUUGGGGAGACAGGGCUAAACUAAGUCCUUUAAGAAGCUCUACAUACUGACAAGAUUCUAGUUCCCUUCCACCUUAUAUGCUGCAAAGUAAAAAGUAUCACUGAAUGAGAAAAUCAGCAUAAAGAAGCCCAAUAAUGUCUGCCUGAGUUUCCCCUAUGAUGACUUUUGGUACUUUUUGGGGAAACAUUAAGUAUGAAGUUAUUUCAAAAUAAUUUUUUGGUGCCUCUGCUUGGUGAUGCCUUAAACUCUGGGUAAGAGAAACACCAGGUGCCUGUCAGGAGAUGGCCUCUUCCAGGUUUCUAGUUAGGCUACAAACAGCUAGCUGGCUGUUGUCAUCAAAAUAAAAGCUUUCUGAAGGUGGAGGCAUCUGAUACCCAGAGUGCUGCUAUCAGCCGGCACGGUGGGCCGCUGGGUGGCAGGAGCGUCAAGAAGGCCAGCUCGCUUCCUAUCUGGGAUUCAGAAUCAGCCAUGGAAACUUGAGAGACCUAGAGAAAAUAACUUCUUUCACUUUGAACUGAUUCUUUGCUUCAUAAGAAAAGUAUUAUCCAGCCACAAAAAUGGUCAAAAUUCAGAUCUACAAAAACCUGUCAGGCAGAAACUGACCCCACUUAGGCCACGCCAAUGAGCAAGUCAUCAAAGCAGCCAAGACAGGUCCUGUGGGGGCCACCCAUGCACAGGGCCCAGCCUAGGUUCCUAACCCCGCCUAUGCUUUCCACCACCGUAAAGAGGCCCAUCUAGGUAAGACCUGUCCUGCCUGCCAUGGGGUAUUAGGGCAGAUGGGGUCUGAGGGCUCUGAGAGCAGCUGGCAGCUCAAGGGCAUCCGGAGUUGGAGGAUGGAGCAAUCCAGGCCCUUGUGGUAAAGACAGUCCUGCAGCCGGGCAGGCAGGGAUUCUGCAAGUGGAGUGCAAGGCGGGUGCGGAGCCCUGUGGGACCGUGGAGGGGUCAGAGGGAAGCCAGGAUUUUGGGGUAUCUGAGAGUUUGGAGAAGGGGAAGAAGAUUAAAGCUUGUUUCAAAA
rnacentral:antisense_RNA from 1 species